rnacentral:lncRNA from 1 species
GUAUCGAACCAUCUAUGUAACCCCAAGACUUCUUUCCUCCAAGGAAAAAUGGAACCAAUCGAGCUUUAUCAUGCUAUAAUUAUUACCAUUUUGUUUUUGAUAGACGAUCUGGAUUCCUGGAUUAUCCAUGACUGGAUAAGAAGAACCUGAAUAUCCAGAACUAGAAUGUCCUUCUCUUGAAGGUGUAAGAGUUUGAGCUGGUAAGAUGGUUUCUGAUG